UUUUGGUCGUCGUCGUCAUCGUAGUCGUCAUCGUCGCGGAAACCAACAGGAUCGACGCGGAUAGAUGUCGUGCUGUCGUCGUCGUCGUAUGGGCCGACGACGUUGUUGCAAACCUCGCCUACCACGAGGGCCACGAGAAAGAGGCACCGCCCCUGGUCGUCUGUCUUUUCCGCCAGCGUCUCGCGCGCAACGACCCGGCACAAGCCGUGUGCCUGCGCAAUGGCGGCGGCCAAAAGGACACCGAUCGCCACCCAUCGGGCUGUGCUCGCCACGAGGAUGAGAGCCAUGUGUGCGCGCGCAAAAAAACACAAACGGCCAAUGCUAGAGGGAAGAGAAACAAUGAAAACUUGGGAAAAAAAAGACGUGCGAGAUGGCCCAACAAGGCCGAGAUCGUGAAAAAAACAAAAGAGAGAAAAAGAGCGGCUAUCUUUUGCGCUCUUUUUUGC
rnacentral:lncRNA from 1 species